rnacentral:rRNA from 1 species
GACGAACGCUGGCGGCGCGCUUAACACAUGCAAGUCGAACGGAAAGGCCUGCUUUCCCUUGUGGAUUGCGGGUACUCGAGUGGCGAACGGGUGAGUAACACGUGAGUGAUCUGCCCCCAACUUGGGUAUAAGCCUGGGAAACUGGGUCUAAUUCCCGAUAGGACUGCAGGGUGGUGCCUGUGGUGGAAAACGAUUUUCUAGUGGUUGGGGAUGAGCUCGCGGCCUAUCAGCUUGUUGGUGGGGUAAUGGCCUACCAAGGCGGCGACGGGUAGCCGGCCUGAGAGGGUGGACGGCCACAUUGGGACUGAGAUACGGCCCAGACUCCUACGGGAGGCAGCAGUGGGGAAUAUUGCACAAUGGGCGGAAGCCUGAUGCAGCGACGCCGCGUGGGGGAUGACGGCCUUCGGGUUGUAAACUCCUUUCGACCGCGAGGAAGCCACCUGGUUGGAAGGGUGGUGACGGUGGCGGUAGAAGAAGCACCGGCUAACUACGUG